UGGGUUGUGGCUCAGUGGUAGAGCUCUUGCCCAGCAUGUGUGAGGCACUGGGUUCAAUUCUCAGCACCACAU
rfam:Ictidomys tridecemlineatus contig095298, whole genome shotgun sequence.